AUUGAACGCUCGCGGGAUGCUUACACAUGCAAGUCGAACGAGUGGCGGACGGGUGAGUAAUAUAUCGGAACGUGCCCAGUAGCGGGGGAUAACUACUCGAAAGAGUGGCUAAUACCGCAUACUAUUGGAGCGGCCGAUAUCGGAUUAGCUAGUUGGGGGGGUAAAGGCUCACCAAGGCAACGAUCCGUAGCAGGUUUGCGAGGAUGAACAGCAACACUGGUACUGAUACACGGUCCAGAACCCGAAGGGAGGAAGCAGUGGGGAAUAUUGCACAAUGGGCGCAAGCCUAAUGCAGCCAUGCCGCGUGUAUGAAGAAGGCCUUCGGGUUUUAAAGUACUUUCAGCGGGGAGGCGUUACCCACAGAAGAAGCACCGGCUAACUCCGUGCCAGCAGCCGCGGUAAUAC
rnacentral:rRNA from 1 species